CUGAUGGCAUUAUUUGCCUCGGCUAUACGGACGCACCGGAUGCAAUCGUCGUGAUUACCGCCUAAUUCUGAUUGAGCCGCGGCGAUCCGUCAGAAAAUCGCUUCUGCCUGCACUACCGAUAUGAAAUGAUCAAAUGGAUUUGGUGGUAGUUAAUUAAUAAAUUAACUUGUUGCAUCCUCCUGAGUGCGUCUCUGUUUUCUAUUCGCGAGAUCCGGUGGGACUGCAAUUACGAAUGCUGCAGAGAUCCAUUAGUUCUCGGGUGACUGUAGAGGGUAUAGGAAUAACGUGUGUGUCUUGUGGGCUUCCAACCUGAGGUUGUUAUCGACACUUGGAUUAUCUAUAGCUACCUGUUGAAGAGGAAAGAAAUGCCACUGCCGAAAAUCAACUGUUUAACGCGGCAUAGUCUUCUGACCAUUUUAACGGUAGUUGGUGUCAUUGGAGGAACGAUAACUGGCCUGAUACUUACCAACGUGAGUGACAGACCAUGGUCCAAAAGGGAAGUUAUGUAUAUCAAGUUUCCGGGGGACAUAUUUCUACGAAUGCUGAAGGCGCUGAUCAUCCCUUUAUUAA